rnacentral:rRNA from 1 species
CAGCAGCCACGGGAAUACGGAGGGUGCAAGCGUUAAUCGGAAUUACUGGGCGUAAAGCGUGCGUAGGCGGCUUUUUAAGUCGGAUGUGAAAUCCCUGAGCUUAACUUAGGAAUUGCAUUCGAUACUGGGAAGCUAGAGUAUGGGAGAGGAUGGUAGAAUUCCAGGUGUAGCGGUGAAAUGCGUAGAGAUCUGGAGGAAUACCGAUGGCGAAGGCAGCCAUCUGGCCUAAUACUGACGCUGAGGUACGAAAGCAUGGGGAGCAAACAGGAUUAGAUACCCGAGUAGUCCCUGUCUCUUAUAC